rnacentral:lncRNA from 1 species
CUUGUCCAAGUGAAUGAAUCUCUUCCUCGCCCACGGCCUACGUCGACUUGAUAGUUGUGGGCUCCUGAGAAAACGUGCCCCUCGUGGUGCGUGUACGUUUCACUCUGAUCCGGCUUCUUCUGGCUUAGCGGUCCUGUUUGGGCUUUCUCGGUUUUCUCGGCUCGGGGCGCCUGUUUUGUUGGCUCAUGCCUCUUUGCUAGCAGCGCCAUCUCU